CCUACGGGUGGCAGCAGUGAGGAAUAUUGGUCAAUGGGCGGGAGCCUGAACCAGCCAAGUCGCGUGAGGGAAGACGGUCCUAUGGAUUGUAAACCUCUUUAUGCGGGGAGCAAUGCCGGGCACGUGUGCCCGGCGGGAGAGUCCCCGCAGAAUGAGCAUCGGCUCACUCCGUCCCCGCCGCCGCGGUAAUACGGAGGGUGCGAGCGUUAUCCGGCUUUAUUGGGUUGAAAGGGUGCGUAGGCGGAUUUUUAAGUCAGCGGUAAAAUGUCCGGGCUACAGGCGGGCCGGCCGUUGAAACUGGGGAGCUGGAGUGGGCGAGAAGUAGGAGGAAUGCGUGGUGUAGCGGUGAAAUGCAUAGAUAUCACGCAGAACUCCGAUUGCGAAGGCAGCACACCGGAGCGCGACUGACGCUGAGGCACGAAAGCGUGGGGAUCGAACAGGAUUAGAUACCCGAGUAGUC
rnacentral:rRNA from 1 species